rnacentral:lncRNA from 1 species
AAGUUUAGGAUAAGGAAUUCAAGCUUUGUGAGUUCAGAAAUGCAACUUUGUUGGGUAACAGAAUUUUUUGCCAGUGAGUUUAGUGACAAAAAUAAUCUUGGAUUGACUCUUCAGAAAGAUUGCAGUAACUUAAAUUUAUUCUCUUCAAAGAGGGUAGAUUCAGUUUAGAAGGUGGUAAUCUAAAGGCAAAAGGAGGCUCUUCCUUCAAAAGUAAUCUGAAGGUUUUUCGGAUUAAAGACGGAUGAAGGUAGCUCUACACUAUCAGCUUCACUUAAUUAAAUUUCCUCCAAACACUUCAUUUCCUCUGAACCCUCCAGCAAGCCACGUAACUUCGAGAAGCCAGAAACAUUCAGAACUGUGAGGGAUUUCAAUUUAUAAAAGGUAUCUGGAAGACAAAUAAGAUUCUUGCAAUUCUUCAAUCCAAAUGAGCAAGGCCAACUAGGCAUCCCAGUGAUGAGGGUAGUUUUGUUAUUGGAGUUUCCUCUAAAUUAAGCACUGACAUUUGCUCCAUGCUUUCCCCAAACUCCGGAAGAUAUUCAAAUUCAGAGCAACCAGAAAGACUUAAAUAUUUCAAGGAACUCAUCUCCAUUUUACUUGGAAGAGUUUUGAGCCUUUUGCAGUCUUCCAAAUUCAUCAUAACAGGUUUCUUAUGACGUACAAGGGAUGGAUGAACCUCCGUUAAACUUGUGCAUCCUUCAAGAACCAAUGAUUCAAGAUUUGGAGCCCCGUCAAAGUCCGGGGACUGCUUUAGGUUCUUUGAAAAACUCAAAUCGAUAGACUUCAGCUUUUCCAGAAGCUGUUCAAAAUUAAUAUGGUGGAAACAAAAACUACAUUAGCUUUCGGAGUUACUAUGGUGAUGGCAAUUUUUUUUAGAUAAAUGGUGUUUAGCUUUAGCUGGUGAUUUUACUCAUACUGUUGUAAAGGGUUCAAGAUGUUAAUGAUAUCGACCUCUGGAAGAACCUAGUGGUCUUAGGCUCAGUCAGCCUUGAUGGACUUACUUGUUUUGUUGCUUUUAUUUGAAUGGGUGAAAUAAUUAGACCUUAAUAUAAAAAGAGGAGUUUACUUUAAUAUCUUGAUUCACAUUAGCACGGAUCAUCUCAAUAAAACAUGCAAAAGGGUUGAGUUCAAACUGCAAAUAUGGAGAAUGAGAAGUUUCUAUACAAAUAACAAGACAUACGUAAUUACAUGACAAGUUUUUAGAUAAUUCGCACCUUCUCACUGGCCACUCCGAUCUCUUCACUAGAAGAAAUGAUACUAUUUUCAUAAAUAUCUUCAACAUCUUGCUUACAUACCAAACGACAUCCGCACCUCACUAUUUCCAAUGAUUGGCAACAAUAACUUUUCAAUACAAAUUCAAUUUCACUGCCGACAACACCUUCACAAAUCAUGUCACGGUAUUUAUCAAUGGACAAGUAGAGAAUAUAAAGGUGAGGGCAAUCUAGCUCCAUGGGAGGUAAAUUCCUGGAACUGAUAAUCGUCUUACCAUUAGGUCCAAACAAGUAGCACUCAACUUCAUGAUGGCACGCCUCAGGAGGAUUUGCAUAACUUACUAAUAGGAAGCACAGAGCAAAUCCCACCCAUUCAUUUACAGGGCAAUUAUGAGGGACUGGUAUUUUAGCUAAUGAAACACAUUUUUGAGGGACAAACCAUGAUGGAAUUUCACUCCCUGGGAUUAACAUCUCAAAUCUUGUUCUGGGAAGAGGGAGUUCCUGUAUGAAUUAACACACCAAAUGUAAUGUUGAAUAAGCAACAAGAUGGAUGAUUAUGUUACACGCACGCACACACAAACACAAUUUUAGAAUGUGGGGAAGACCAGAGUACACACCUCAAGAUAGCGUAUCAAUUCUCUCGAAAAAUGAAAAUUUGAAGGUGAUGAUGCAAAGAGACUGCAUGGCUUGGAUGGAUUGAAUUUGGAAGUUUCCAAUGAAGUGCAAUUGCUUGCAUCCAAAUGUUUCAUUCUUGAAGGGAGCUCUGGCAACCUUUUAAGUUUUUUGCACAAGUUUAGGAGAAGAAUUUCAAGCUUUGUGAGGUUCGAAAUGCAACUUGGUAGGGUAACAAAAUUGUUGCCAGUGAGAUCUAGAAACUGCAAUGAAGAUAAGUGACGAAAACCAUCUGGGAAUGACUCUUCAGAUAGAUUGCAGUAACUUAAAUUUAUUCUCAUCAAAGAGGGUAGAUUCAGUUUAGAAGGUGGUAAUCUAAAUGCAGUAGGAGUUUGUUGAUUCCCAAAUACCCACUGAAAGGGGAGAAGAAAUCCACUUACUGAGUUAGAUACUGGCUUUUUG